UUAAUAGAAGCUAUUUAGCGCCUGGCUGUUAAUCAGGAGAUAGUAAUAUACCUGUGUUACCUAUU
rnacentral:tRNA from 1 species